rnacentral:rRNA from 1 species
AUCUCCCUCUUUCUUCAGGCCUAACACAUGCAAGUCGAACGGAUCCUUCGGGAUUAGUGGCGGACGGGUGAGUAACACGUGGGAACGUGCCCUUUGGUUCGGAACAACUCAGGGAAACUUGAGCUAAUACCGGAUGUGCCCUUCGGGGGAAAGAUUUAUCGCCAUUGGAGCGGCCCGCGUCUGAUUAGCUAGUUGGUGAGGUAACGGCCCACCAAGGCGACGAUCAGUAGCUGGUCUGAGAGGAUGAUCAGCCACACUGGGACUGAGACACGGCCCAGACUCCUACGGGAGGCAGCAGUGGGGAAUCUUGCGCAAUGGGCGAAAGCCUGACGCAGCCAUGCCGCGUGAAUGAUGAAGGUCUUAGGAUUGUAAAAUUCUUUCAGCGGGGACGAUAAUGACGGUACCCGCAGAAGAAGCUCCGGCUAACUUCGUG